CUUGCUACAUUACCUAGCGGCGGACGGGUGAGUAAUGCUUAGGAAUCUGCCUAUUAGUGGGGGACAACAUUUCGAAAGGAAUGCUAAUACCGCAUACGCCCUACGGGGGAAAGCAGGGGAUCUUCGGACCUUGCGCUAAUAGAUGAGCCUAAGUCGGAUUAGCUAGUUGGUGGGGUAAAGGCCUACCAAGGCGACGAUCUGUAGCGGGUCUGAGAGGAUGAUCCGCCACACUGGGACUGAGACACGGCCCAGACUCCUACGGGAGGCAGCAGUGGGGAAUAUUGGACAAUGGGGGGAACCCUGAUCCAGCCAUGCCGCGUGUGUGAAGAAGGCCUUUUGGUUGUAAAGCACUUUAAGCGAGGAGGAGGCUACCUAGAUUAAUACUCUGGGAUAGUGGACGUUACUCGCAGAAUAAGCACCGGCUAACUCUGUGCCAGCAGCCGCGGUAAUACAGAGGGUGCAAGCGUUAAUCGGAUUUACUGGGCGUAAAGCGUGCGUAGGUGGCCAAUUAAGUCA
rnacentral:rRNA from 1 species